GGAUUAGAUACCCUGGUAGUCCACGCCCUAAACGAUGAGAACUAGCCGUUGGGGGUAUUAGAAACCUUUAGUGGCGCAGCUAACGCGAUAAGUUCUCCGCCUGGGGAGUACGGCCGCAAGGUUAAAACUCAAAGGAAUUGACGGGGGCCCGCACAAGCGGUGGAGCAUGUGGUUUAAUUCGAUGCAACGCGAAGAACCUUACCUGCCCUUGACAUUGACAGAACCCUCCAGAGACGGAGGGGUGCCUUCGGGCCUGGAAAACAGGUGCUGCAUGGCUGUCGUCAGCUCGUGCUG
rnacentral:rRNA from 1 species